UUGGGUUUAUUCACGGUCGUAACAGUUCGUAUAGAAAAACUAUGUACGGAGGCUGGUUAAGAUAUUUAGUUUUGAAAAUUAACGAGAGGUGGCGCUUUGUUCAAUUUUGUAUAUUUUUUUUCGUUAGCAACAUUAUAAUGUGGUGUUGCUAUCGACUGUUUGUCAGUUCUUUAUACGCAAAAUACUUACGUCUCUAACUUUGAAAUAAGCUUUUUCUUCAGAAAAAAAAGAGGAAUGCAAACUUCAAAGCAUCUAAAUCAUAAACAAAAUAUGUCUACACAUGUGAUCUACACUUACUUGUUGUUACUUGAUAUUUAUUAAGGUAGAAAAUCGCUUUGGUUUUUUCCAAGUGGUUUUGUAAAUUUUUGUGUGUAAUGGAACGCAUAUAUGUCAUGGCGUCCGGCCGGUACCCUUUAAAAGUUGUUGAUUGUGUUGUGUGGUGCGUUCUCCUGUUUUUCCGUAUAUUUGUGGCUUUUCCGACAACGUUUGCUUUCCAAAGGACACCGAAAUCUCCGCUUUAAUUUUACACCUGUGCGCACUACUUUGGACUCCGAGUUUUCUCUUUACGAUUUGGAUUUGACGAUAUGGGAUCUCCGUUCAGAUGUUGUGUUCGUUAUUGCACUACAACUCGCAGUAAGUUUUAAAUAUACUAUUUUAAUGUGGACUUUCCCAUUAUAAGUAUAUACAGUACAGUAUUAUAGGAGAUACCGUAGAACAAUAAUAAUAUGUCUUCAUUUACAGGUGAUGAUUGCAAUGUUAUUUUGCAUUCAUUUCCCAACCCCGAUAAGGAAGAGGACAGAUUUAGAUCUUGGGUCUACUCAAUUGGGGGAGAUAUUCUGGUUUUGGAUAACCAAUUUGUAUUCAAAACAGAAAAAUAUGCCACAAGCACUUCGAAAGUAAAUACCAUACAAGAAGUUCAAGAUUAAGUGCUAAUGCAGUUCCUACUUUGCAUUUAAAAGGCAUACCUUGUAAAAGACCAUUAUCAGAUGUUACCAAUGUGACCAGUUACAAUCCAAUAUUUGCUCAACCUUCAACAUCCACAGCAGGUCCACUUCAUUCUGGUGAACCAAUAUCUAUCAAGACCAGUGAACUUGAGAAGCUAGCAGAAGCAGAUUUAGGCAAACCUGUAAAGACUUCAGGAGUAAAACAUAUUUCCCUAAAACAAGCAGCUGCAAUGACAAAAAAUGUACCAAACUUAGCGAAUCUGCAAAAAACAAUCAAGAAGUUACAACAAAAGAAAGAAAGUUACGCCACACGACUGAAAAGAGCCUUAAGACUUUCUGAAAAUACCACUUUUCAGAAGUGCUUACAAAAUUUUCGACUUUGGCAGCCUUGUUUACAGUCAUGCAAUUUCGCGAAAUUUCAAAAGGAAAAAUGGGAAGAAGGUUCACAAAGGACGAAAAAUCAUGGCUCUCAGUUUGUACAAACAGGGCCCAAAAGCAUAUAGAUGGCUCAGUAAAAUAUUUAUUUUACCAUCUCCUAUCACUCUGAGUCGUCUGAUUUCCUGUGCUGGUCUAAGACCAGGAAUCAACAAAAGGAUAUUUAACCAGUUGAAGAAAAGAGCCCAAAAAAUGACAGAAAAUGAAAAGUUAUGCAUUCUUCUGUUCGAUGAAAUAUCUAUUACACCCCAUUAUGACUAUAAUAGAAAACGAGAUGCCAUUACGGGAUUUAUUAAUAAUGGAAAACAAACAAACAGGAACAUAGCGGAUCAUGCACUUGUUUUAUGUUAAGAGGGUUUGUAAAUAAUUACAAACAACCAUUGGCUUACACAUUUUGCAAAGGAACAACUUCCAAAGGAGAUUUGAAACUUUUAAUAAAAAUAUUAUUUCCGAAUUGCAACAGUGUGGGUUUUAUGUGCUUGCAACGGUCUGUGACCAAGGGACUACAAAUGUUAGCGCUAUAAACGAAUUGAUAGAAGAAAGAAGAGUUGAUUAUAUAAGAAAAAAUCUAAAUUUUAAGCAUCAAAUAUUUGAAGUCAAUGGCAAGGAAAUAAUACCUAUUUUUGACACCCCCCACUUAAUAAAAGGGAUUAGGAAUAAUUUAAUUACCAAGAAUUUGAAGUGCAUUAUAGAAGAUGAAGUUAAAAUUGCGAAGUGGGACCACCUAAUUAAACUUCAUGAGGAAAAUCCUUCUUAUAAAGGUAUACGAUUAAUUAAAAAUCUUACAGAAGCCCACAUUGAUCCAAAGAAAAUCCCCAAGAUGAAGGUUAAGAUGGCAACUCAAAUAUUUAGUCAAACAGUCGCUACCAGUAUGGGAUACCUAGCAG